UACGUAGGGGGCGAGCGUUAUCCGGAUUCACUGGGUGUAAAGGGAGCGUAGACGGCCAUGCAAGCCUGGAGUGAAAGCCCGGGGCCCAACCCCGGGACUGCUCUGGGAACUGUGCGGCUGGAGUGCGGGAGGGGCAGGCGGAAUUCCUGGUGUAGCGGUGAAAUGCGUAGAUAUCAGGAGGAACACCGGCGGCGAAGGCGGCCUGCUGGACCGCGACUGACGUUGAGGCUCGAAAGCGUGGGGAGCAAACAGG
rnacentral:rRNA from 1 species